AAGCGGGUUUAUCAAAGAAGAAUCCCGGCGGGAGUCGGUUCGGUGUAUCCUAAUCCGCUUCCGACAGCCGACGGUCAAGUGAUGUUGCGUAAUUAGUCCGACUCUUUUGGUGUGUUUUUUUUUUGUAAUUACAAAAGCUUCGACAUCC
ensembl:ncRNA F52B10.5 ncRNA